rnacentral:rRNA from 1 species
GCGUGCCAGCCGGAGCGGAUGAGCGGCGGCAGCAUGGCCAUGGGCGCGAGGAGCAAGCACCAUCCCAAAUCUCUGGCCCUGCGCUGCUACUGCUACGCGGCGAGCCACCGCUCCCUGACCCUGCUGGUGUGGUGCCUGGCGGCGCUGCUGGUCCUUCUGAACUUCCACCUGCUCGUCACCCACGGCAAGGAUGACCAGGGCGGCAGGCCCCGCGAGAUCCACCGGGCGAUCCUCAGGGAGCUGGAGGUGGUGGAGGAGGAGAGGUUCCAGGUGACGCCCGCCCGGAGCCGGAGGAACCCGCGGGCCGUGCGGCGCAAGGGGGAGCACACCAAGCCGCUGUCCGUGGUGGAUGAGUUCCUGGACGAGUCCUCGGCCGUGCACGACAUGUUCUUCCCGGAGCCGAGGACGGCCAUCGAUCCUGUCCACGGCGGCAACGACAGCAUGUACUUCUACCACCCCGGGAGGGUGUGGCUUGACACCGACGGCAAGCCGAUCCAGGCUCACGGAGGCGGCGUGCUGUACGAUGAGAGGACCGAGACCUACUUCUGGUACGGGGAGAACAAGGAUGGCAAGACUUACAAGGCUCACAGCAAGGGUGCUGAUCGAGUUGACAUUGUUGGAGUGAGUUGCUAUUCUUCGAAGGACCUGUGGGCAUGGAAAAAUGAAGGGGUUGUGCUCCGCGGCGAGAAAAAGAACGUGACACAUGACCUCCACGUAUCCAACGUCCUGGAGAGGCCGAAGGUGAUCUACAACGACCGGACCGGCAAGUACGUGAUGUGGAUGCACAUAGAUGACGCUAACUACACCAAGGCGUCGGUCGGCGUGGCGGUCAGCGACUCCCCCACAGGCCCGUUCUCCUACCUCUACAGCAAGCGGCCGCACGGCUGCGAGAGCAGAGACAUGACCAUUUUCAAGGAUGACAACGGGAAGGCCUACCUGAUAUACUCAUCCGAGGACAACAGCGAGCUCCACAUCGGCCAGCUGACCGACGACUACCUCGACCUGACCGACGACAUGAGGAGGUUUCUCAUCGCGCAGCACCGGGAAGCGCCGGCGCUCUUCAAGUUUGACGGCACCUACUACAUGAUAACCUCAGGGUGCACGGGGUGGGCGCCCAACACGGCGCUGGCUCACGCCGCGACGUCGGUCAUGGGGCCCUGGGAGACGCUGGGGAGCCCCUGCGUGGGAGGGAACGAAAUAUUCCGGUCGACGACCUUCUUCUCCCAGAGCACAUUCGUGCUGCCACUCCCAGGCCUGAGAGGCUCCUUCAUCUUCAUGGCCGACCGGUGGAACCCUUCGGAGCUGCGGGACUCGCGCUACGUGUGGCUGCCGCUGACGGUGGGCGGGGUGCCGGAUGAGGCCGCGGACUACAGCUUCAUGUUCCCGCUCUGGUCCCGGGUGUCGAUUUACUGGCACCGGCGGUGGCGGCUCCCCGAGGGGUGGACAGAUUCUUGA